rnacentral:rRNA from 1 species
UGGGAAUAUUGCACAAUGGGCGCAAGCCUGAUGCAGCCAUGCCGCGUGUGUGAAGAAGGCCUUCGGGUUGUAAAGCACUUUCAGCGAGGAGGAAGGUGGUGGACUUAAUACGUUCAUCAAUUGACGUUACUCGCAGAAGAAGCACCGGCUAACUCCGUGCCAGCAGCCGCGGUAAUACGGAGGGUGCAAGCGUUAAUCGGAAUUACUGGGCGUAAAGCGCACGCAGGCGGUUUGUUAAGUCAGAUGUGAAAUCCCCGGGCUCAACCUGGGAACUGCAUUUGAAACUGGCAAGCUAGAGUCUCGUAGAGGGGGGUAGAAUUCCAGGUGUAGCGGUGAAAUGCGUAGAGAUCUGGAGGAAUACCGGUGGCGAAGGCGGCCCCCCUGGANGAAGACUGACGCUCAGGUGCGAAAGCGUGGGGAGCAAACAGAUUAGNUACCCUGGUAG